rnacentral:rRNA from 1 species
UACGGAGGAUGCAAGCGUUAUCCGGAUUUAUUGGGUUUAAAGGGUGCGCAGGUUGUUUGAUAAGUCAGUGGUGAAAGUCUGUCGCUUAACGGUAGGAUUGCCAUUGAUACGGUUGGACUUGAAUAUGGAUGAGGUAGGCGGAAUGUGUAGUGUAGCGGUGAAAUGCAUAGAUAUUACACAGAACACCGAUUGCGAAGGCAGCUUACUAAUCCAUCAUUGACGCUGAGGCACGAAAGCGUGGGGAUCAAACAGGA